ACAGAGCCAUGAGGAGGUGCGGAGGUCUAGUUUUCUCUCAGAACACUUGAAUUACAAUAUGUAUUUAGAAAAUAUAUAAUAUAAUAUUUGAUCCCGCAGACAGUUAAUAGGUCUUUUGACAUGACAAAGUAGGAAAAGCAGAUAAAUUAAUGAUUAAUUAGGAUGCUUCUGUAAUACUAAAUUGGGAAAAAUAUCCUAUCUUAGACUCUUCUUGAUACUUUAGAUGGAAAGUUUCUGUCUGUCUCACUUAUGAAUAGAACAGAAUCAUCUUUAUUAAUGUUAUCAGUAACACCUGUGGUUUUUCCUACUAUGACAGGUCAACAUGUCUGCUGUGAAAAAGGCCUGUUGGACUGAGAGAAAUCAGACUGACAGUGAGCUGAAGAUAACAGUCUCAUUAAUCAAGCUGCUAAUCAGGCUGAUUACCCACAGAGCCGCUGCUUCCUGCUUCCUGCUUCCUCUCCUACAGUCACAACUGUGGUGUUGGACAUCAGUUGGAUCAGUGAGGAGGUGUGGCGGGCUGCUCUGGUGAAGAUCUGAUGCGACAGCAGACGGCGAUGCCAGCGGCCCCGUCGGCUCCUGUGGCUCUGCGGACACGACAGCUGUUGCCCCUAGCAACCGGCCCCCGGAUGGCAGCGCCCUGAGAGACGGCGCUACAGUCUGUCAGAGUCCAGCCAGACGGACAGGACACCUCCACCUGCAACACAACAGCAGCAACAGGCGGCACUCCAGAGACGGAGCAUGGCAGCACACGGCAUGAGAUAUCACCCCGUGUUUCACAACACAACGCCUCCCAUGAUGAUGUGGACGCGAGUCAGACGACGUCUCAUCCGUGGUCGACCAGGAAGUGCAACCUGGAGAGACACGAGAGCUUCACGCUUUAAUGAGCUCAGACAGGCUUUAAAGGAGGCAUGGCCGCCACCAGGUUUGGAGUGAUGAGACGAUGUGCGUCGGAUAGAGAGAGGAAGUUGAUCGUGUUGCUGAUGGAAUAACGCAGCAUCAUCUGCAGGACCUGCACCGGCGACGCGUUCUGAUUGGACGACAGGAUCACUGCUGCUAAACCUGCAGCAGCAUGUGCAGCAGCCUGGGAGGUUCCACUGCGGGAGGUGAAACAGGUGCUGCAGUCACUGCUGGCACUAACGAUGUCAUCGCCGGGCGCGAACAGAUCAACGCAGCGGCCGAAGUUGGUGCCACCCGCUCCCUGUGACAUCAGCUGGUCCACUGAGUUAACAGCCCCUACUGUGAUGACCUGCACAUGCACACAGGAAGUCAAGAUAAGGGUUGUGUGUAAACGCAUCCAUCAGGCUCUUUGGAGUAACGCUUGUUUCCACAGUUGUUUAGUGUCUGUAUUUAGCUAACAUUGGUAGCUGUGUAACAUAGUAGUGGUUCAUACGUCUUGCAUACAUAUUUCACAAAACUGCUAAAUGUGCCGUCAAACUUUUCACUUAGGAAAACAAAUUAUAAAUCAGUUUAUUAAUUUGCUAAUUCCACAGGAAGAUAGCAUAACAGUGCAUACAGUCCGUCCGUAAUCUGCCGCAUGAGUUAAAUUUUAGGCCAAUUACGGUCUUAAAAAAAAA